GUGCCAGCAGCCGCGGUAAUACGUAGGGUGCAAGCGUUAAUCGGAAUUACUGGGCGUAAAGCGUGCGCAGGCGGUUUUGUAAGUCUGUCGUGAAAGCCCCGGGCUCAACCUGGGAAUUGCGAUGGAGACUGCAAGGCUUGAAUCUGGCAGAGGGGGGUAGAAUUCCACGUGUAGCAGUGAAAUGCGUAGAGAUGUGGAGGAACACCGAUGGCGAAGGCAGCCCCCUGGGUCAAGAUUGACGCUCAUGCACGAAAGCGUGGGGAGCA
rnacentral:rRNA from 1 species